rnacentral:rRNA from 1 species
UCGCCUAACGAGUGGGCGUCCGGCGGAAACUACAGGGCUUGGGACCGGAAGACUUGAGGGGUACGUCUGGGGUAGGAGUGAAAUCCUGUAAUCCUGGACGGACCGCCGAUAGCGAAAGCACCUCAAGACGACGGAUCCGACAGUGAGGGACGAAAGCUAGGGUCUCGAACCGGAUUAGAUACCCGGGUAGUCCUAGCUGU